rnacentral:rRNA from 1 species
UAGACCUACGGGAGGCAGCAGUAGGGAAUUUUCGUCAAUGGGCGCAAGCCUGAACGAGCGAUGCCGCGUGAGUGAAGAAGGCCUUCGGGUCGUAAAGCUCUGUUGCGGGGGAAAAAAGGCAGCAUCAGGAAAUGGGUGCUGACUGAUGGUGCCCCGCCAGAAAGUCACGGCUAACCACGUGCCAGCAGCCGCGGUAAUACGUAGGUGGCGAGCGUUAUCCGGAAUGAUUGGGCGUAAAGGGUGCGCAGGCGGUGCUGCAAGGCUGGAGUGGAACGCAUGAGCUCAACUCAUGC